rnacentral:sRNA from 1 species
ACAAUGGGGAUGUAGCUCAGAUGGUAGAGC